rnacentral:rRNA from 1 species
GACGAAGGUGGCGAGCGUUGUUCGGAAUCACUGGGCGUAAAGCGCGCGUAGGCGGCGCCGCACGACGGUCGUGAAAGCCCCCGGCUCAACUGGGGGAGGGUCGGUCGUAACGGCGGUGCUUCGAGUGUGGGAGAGGGGAGUGGAACUCCGGGAGUAGCGGUGAAAUGCGUAGAGACCCGGAGGAACACCGGUGGCGAAGGCGGCUUCCUGGCCUACUACUGACGCUGUGGCGCGGAAAGCUGGGGGGAGCGAACGGG